rnacentral:rRNA from 1 species
GAUGAACGCUGGCGGCGUGCCUAGUACAUGCAAGUCGAGCGAACGGACGAGAAGCUUGCUUCUCUGAUGUUAGCGGCGGACGGGUGAGUAACACGUGGAUAACCUACCUAUAAGACUGGGAUAACUUCGGGAAACCGGAGCUAAUACCGGAUAAUAUUUUGAACCGCAUGGUUCAAAAGUGAAAGACGGUCUUGCUGUCACUUAUAGAUGGAUCCGCGCUGCAUUAGCUAGUUGGUAAGGUAACGGCUUACCAAGGCAACGAUGCAUAGCCGACCUGAGAGGGUGAUCAGCCACACUGGAACUGAGACACGGUCCAGACUCCUACGGGAGGCAGCAGUAGGGAAUCUUCCGCAAUGGGCGAAAGCCUGACGGAGCAACGCCGCGUGAGUGAUGAAGGUCUUCGGAUCGUAAAACUCUGUUAUUAGGGAAGAACAUAUGUGUAAGUAACUGUGCACAUCUUGACGGUACCUAAUCAGAAAGCCACGGCUAACUACGUG